AGCGAACGCUGGCGGCAGGCCUAACACAUGCAAGUCGAACGAACCCUUCGGGGUUAGUGGCGGACGGGUGAGUAACACGUGGGGAACGUACCUUUAGGUUCGGAACAACACAGGGGAAACUUGUGCUAAUGCCGAAUGUGCCCUUCGGGGGAAAGAUUUAUCGCCUUUAGAGCGGCCCGCGUCUGAUUAGCUUGUUGGUGAGGUAAAAGGCUCACCAAGGCUUCGAUCAGUAGCUGGUCUGAGAGGAUGAUCAGCCACACUGGGACUGAGACACGGCCCAGACUCCUACGGAGGCAGCAGUGGGGAAUCUUGCGCAAUGGGCGAAAGCCUGACGCAGCCAUGCCGCGUGAAUGAUGAAGGUCUUAGGAUUGUAAAAUUCUUCACCGGGGAAGAUAAUGACGGUACCCGGAGAAGAAGCCCCGGCUAACUUCGUGCCAGCAGCCGCGGUAA
rnacentral:rRNA from 1 species